UCCCUGGUGGCUUAGUGGUAAAAAGAAUCAGCCUGUCAAUGCAGGAGACCCAGGUUUGAUCCCUGGUCCGGGAA
rnacentral:tRNA from 1 species